GCCAGGGUAGUGUAGUGGUUUGAGCACUGGAUUAUGGCUCCAGAGACCAGGGUUCAAAUCCCCCCCUCAGCC